GAUGAAGAACGUAGCGAAAUGCGAUAAGUAAUGUGAAUUGCAGAAUUCAGUGAAUCAUCGAAUCUUUGAACGCACAUUGCGCCCGCCAGUAUUCUGGCGGGCAUGCCUGUCCGAGCGUCAUUUCAACCCUCGAACCCCUCCGGGGGGUCGGCGUUGGGGAUCGGCCCUGCCUCUUGGCGGUGGCCGUCUCCGAAAUACAGUGGCGGUCUCGCCGCAGCCUCUCCUGCGCAGUAGUUUGCACACUCGCAUCGGGAGCGCGGCGCGUCCACAGCCGUUAAACACCCAACUUCUGAAAUGUUGACCUCGGAUCAGGUAGGAAUACCCGCUGAACUUAAGCAUAUCCAUAAGCGGAGGA
rnacentral:misc_RNA from 1 species